rnacentral:rRNA from 1 species
AGCGUAGACGGAUGGACAAGUCUGAUGUGAAAGGCUGGGGCUCAACCCCGGGACUGCAUUGGAAACUGCCCGUCUUGAGUGCCGGAGAGGUAAGCGGAAUUCCUAGUGUAGCGGUGAAAUUCGUAGAUAUUGGGAAGAACACCGGUGGCGAAGGCGGCAACCUGGCUCGAUACUGACGCUGAGGCUCGAAAGCUAGGGUAGCGAACG